rnacentral:rRNA from 1 species
GACGAACGUUGGCGGCGUGCUUAACACAUGCAAGUCGAACGGAAAGGCCCUGCUUUUGUGGGGUGCUCGAGUGGCGAACGGGUGAGUAACACGUGAGUAACCUGCCCUUGACUUUGGGAUAACUUCAGGAAACUGGGGCUAAUACCGGAUAGGAGCUCCUGCUGCAUGGUGGGGGUUGGAAAGUUUCGGCGGUUGGGGAUGGACUCGCGGCUUAUCAGCUUGUUGGUGGGGUAGUGGCUUACCAAGGCUUUGACGGGUAGCCGGCCUGAGAGGGUGACCGGCCACAUUGGGACUGAGAUACGGCCCAGACUCCUACGGGAGGCAGCAGUGGGGAAUAUUGCACAAUGGGCGGAAGCCUGAUGCAGCAACGCCGCGUGCGGGAUGACGGCCUUCGGGUUGUAAACCGCUUUCGCCUGUGACGAAGCGUGAGUGACGGUAAUGGGUAAAGAAGCACCGGCUAACUACGUGCCAGCAGCCGCGGUGAUACGUAGGGUGCGAGCGUUGUCCGGAUUUAUUGGGCGUAAAGGGCUCGUAGGUGGUUGAUCGCGUCGGAAGUGUAAUCUUGGGGCUUAACCCUGAGCGUGCUUUCGAUACGGGUUGACUUGAGGAAGGUAGGGGAGAAUGGAAUUCCUGGUGGAGCGGUGGAAUGCGCAGAUAUCAGGAGGAACACCAGUGGCGAAGGCGGUUCUCUGGGCCAUUCCUGACGCUGAGGAGCGAAAGCGUGGGGAGCGAACAGGCUUAGAUACCCUGGUAGUCCACGCUGUAAACGGUGGGUACUAGGUGUGGGGUCCAUUCCACGGGUUCCGUGCCGUAGCUAACGCUUUAAGUACCCCGCCUGGGGAGUACGGCCGCAAGGCUAAAACUCAAAGGAAUUGACGGGGCCCCGCACAAGCGGCGGAGCAUGCGGAUUAAUUCGAUGCAACGCGUAGAACCUUACCUGGGUUUGACAUGGAUCGGGAGCGCUCAGAGAUGGGUGUGCCUCUUUUGGGGUCGGUUCACAGGUGGUGCAUGGCUGUCGUCAGCUCGUGUCGUGAGAUGUUGGGUUAAGUCCCGCAACGAGCGCAACCCUUGUUCACUGUUGCCAGCACGUUAUGGUGGGGACUCAGUGGAGACCGCCGGGGUCAACUCGGAGGAAGGUGGGGAUGACGUCAAGUCAUCAUGCCCCUUAUGUCCAGGGCUUCACGCAUGCUACAAUGGCUGGUACAGAGAGUGGCGAGCCUGUGAGGGUGAGCGAAUCUCGGAAAGCCGGUCUCAGUUCGGAUUGGGGUCUGCAACUCGACCUCAUGAAGUCGGAGUCGCUAGUAAUCGCAGAUCAGCAACGCUGCGGUGAAUACGUUCCCGGGGCU